UAAUUCAGUUGUGAUAUUCCUUUAUUCUUUUAUAAUAUCAAGCCAACUGGGAGCUGGUCACAGAUGAAUUCUUUUCAGGCUGUUGAGUUUUGACUGCGAUGAUCAAUCAUGUCUUCAUAUCUUUCUCCGCAGUUCAGAUAAAUGAUAUUUCGUAUAUUCACUUGCAUCAAAGGUAAACUGUCAUAAAACAAGUCAGCAUGGUAAUAAUAGGACGAACGUAUGAAUCGAAACA